UUCCCCGCGUUUUCUCUCUUCUCCCCGAACUGUCGCUCUUUCUCCCUCUCGCCUGCAACUCCGGCCUUCUUCCUCCUCCGGCCACCUGACGACGAAAAGCAAGUAUCUUUGGACUCGUCUCCGCUCCCUCUAGGUGCCUGUGGUGGUGUUUUGCGGUGGCUCGGCCCAAUGAGCUCGGAUUUGAGCUGUGAAGUUCACUGUAGCAAUCCGGAAGUUUCGUCGAUUUCCGGCGAUUCCGGCGAUCUCCGGCCACCAAACCGGCGUCAAAGGAGUGGUUUUUCCCAAGGAUCAUGUUGCCCCUAGCCUUGAGCCACGAUUUGCAGUGUGGAGGUCGAAUCGAAGGUUUGAAAUUCCGAGUUACUAUUCACAAUUCGGGUUCAAACUUCUCUUUAAUUGUUGAGGAUGUCGUACCGAGCCCUGGCUCGAUGAAGGAACUCGUAUAAGUGAUAGUCGGAAUAGUACUUGUGCAGGAGAAAUUAGUUGAGGUCGGACGUACAUGGAGUCGAGGCAUAGUCAACAGUAUGGCUUCCGCGAUUGCCUUGAAUUAGGUUUUCCUCAUUUACCUUUCUAUUAGAAUUGCUCUGAUUACCUGCGGAAUUAAGGUUAUUAAGUCGAGAUUUGUGUGUUGUGAAUUUGGUUGAUGUUGUUUGGGGGAGCAGGGUGGCUCCAGGAGAAUAAGGAUGGGUGAUUUAGAAGUGUAAAUUCUCUUUCUACAGGUUUUGGGUUGUCCACUUUAGGGGAAGUUCUGCCUAAUUUUUAGCAAAAUUUCUUCUAAGGUGGGCCCCGCAGGUCCACUUCGGAUUUCAGGGUGAAAUUUGGGGCGGGUCCUGUCAACAUCUAUAUGUCUUUAAUAGACUCAAUAGACACAAAAAAAGUGGUUGUGGCCAUAGGCCUGAUUUCUAAUAGUGACUAGAGCCACAACCACACAUAUCUAAUUUGAUUUAGUGAUUAAUUCGAGAAAAUUAAGUCAACCAUCUAAGGUACAUACGUGUAUUUAAGAAAGCGAGUUAUCUUGGUAACACUAGAAAAAGAACCCGCGCGAUGCUGCGGGGUAAGAAGUUGCAGUACUUUUUGUUAUUUUUUAAGAACUUUGUAGUUGAGUGUGGUUUGAAUAAUAAAAACAAAUUUCCAUCGAUAUAGGAAGAGGCCGGGGCGGCUAAAUAAAUUUGCAUCAUAUUGGAUAGAAUGGGCUCUGUCAUCCUUGAUCAUUUUAAAAUGAAAGUAACUAUAUUCUGUCGCUGACUCUUAGCAAUGACUUUCUUCUCAUUAUUUCAAGUGAUGAUUAGGGAAUGAGUGAAGU